GAAGCAGGUGCUCAACGGCUGAGCCACACCUGCUCGCCUUGAUGCCUGCCCUGAUGGGUGCGGCCCGGUAGAGCAGAGCCCCAGGUCUCCGUGUCCCAGCCCCAGGCCGCUGUCCCAGGCCCUGCUCCCACUUGGGCUCCAGUUCUCCAUGUUCCGGUUCAUCACGUCUCAGCUUCUACGCUGUCCUUCUGCAUCACCUGAUUUUCCAGGAUUGGCCCAGGCCUGAUCCGAGGCAGGGAGACUCUGGGCGCAGAGAGGAGGCACCCCAGCUCUCCAGCUGCUGCUCCUGCACCC
rnacentral:lncRNA from 1 species